rnacentral:lncRNA from 1 species
UAGCUCUACAGAGUAACUCCUAUAUGCUCCACCUGUUUGUCCUCGCACAAAUAGGUUCCAAAAAGAAAGUUACUGUGCUGACUCCUACCACAUAUCUUAAAGUGGACAUAUCAUGCAGCGUAAUCCACAUGUAAUAUUUUUAGUGUCAUAGGCACAUUUAGUCCUUCUGUAUCGCAUAUUCACUCAGUGUGUGCUUUUGAUUCUUAUGGCUGAUGUUCUUCAUGAUCUUUCUGAAACAUUGCAUAAUCCCAAGUGUCUGUUGAGUCUU